UUCGCUUCUCGGCCUUUUGGCUAAGAUCAAUUAUAGUAUCUGUUCUUAUCAGUUUAAUAUCUGAUACGUCCUCCAUUUGAGGACUUUAUAUUAAACAGAUUUUUAGAGCGGGGAGCUGGAAGAGGGGCUUGCUCCGUCCGCUCCACGCAUUGACCUGGUACUACAGUAUGUAACAAAGGUCAAAGACGGACAA